CAGAGUGCUUCGAAAGUCUGCAUUCUAGACAUUAAGCCUCAACAUCAUCAGGAACAACAACAGCAAAUAGCCCAAGACAACAUGAAAAAAGCUUCUGUUAGCAUGAAAUUUUUCAUCUUUCUGCUAUUUGCAUCAUCAAUGGUAUUCUCAAUGGUACCGGGAGCGCAAGGGCAACGAUGCACCACUGUAGCUGACUGCAAAGGAAUCAGGUGCAUAGACAAAACUUUAGAGUGCAGAGAUGGCCGAUGCCAAUGUGUUCCUACUUUUGGAACAAAAAUAAGUUGUUCCAAAGACUUUGACUGUAACAAAGAAGUGUGAUCCUAGAUGUAACAUCCAUAGUUAUGUUAACGAACAGUGCAGAUGUUGUGCUGCCUAAAAAACAAAAAAGUAGGCAUGAAUUGUUAUAAAAUGAAAUAAAGUUUUUAAUAUUAUAUUAU